GACGAACGCUAGCGGCGUGCCUAAUACAUGCAAGUCGAGCGGACCAAAGGGAGCUUGCUCCUGGAGGUUAGCGGCGAACGGGUGAGUAACACGUGGGCAACCUGCCUGUAAGACUGGGAUAACAUCGAGAAAUCGGUGCUAAUACCGGAUAAUAAAAAGAACUGCAUGGUUCUUUUUGAAAGAUGGUUUCGGCUAUCACUUACAGAUGGGCCGCGGCGCAUUAGCUAGUUGGUGAGGUAACGGCUCACCAAGGCGACGAUGCGUAGCCGACCUGGGAGGGUGAUCGGCCACACUGGGACUGAGACACGGCCCAGACUCCUACGGGAGGCAGCAGUAGGGAAUCUUCCGCAAUGGACGAAAGUCUGACGGAGCAACGCCGCGUGAGUGAUGAAGGUUUUCGGAUCGUAAAACUCUGUUGUUAGGGAAGAACAAGUGCCGUUCGAAAGGGCGGCACCUUGACGGUACCUAACGAGAAAGCCACGGCUAACUACGUGCCAGCAGCCGCGGUAAAGUAUCG
rnacentral:rRNA from 1 species